GACGAACGCUGGCGGCGUGCUUAACACAUGCAAGUCGAACGAAGUGGCGAACGGGUGAGUAACGCGUAAUCAACCUGCCCUUCAGAGGGGGACAACAGUUGGAAACGACUGCUAAUACCGCAUACUGAAGGAGGGGUUUGCGUGUGAAUAGCUAGUUGGAGGGGUAACGGCCCACCAAGGCGAUGAUCAGUAGCCGGUCUGGGAGGAUGAACGGGCAACAUGGGACCUGGACACGGCCCCGACUCCUACGGGAUGCAGCAGUGGGGAAUCUUCCGCAAUGGGCGAAAGUCUGACGGAGCAACGCCGCGUGAGUGAUGACGGCCUUCGGGUUGUAAAGCUCUGUUAAUCGGGACGCGGUACCGGAAUAGAAAGCCACGGCUAACUACGUGCCAGCAGCCGCGGUAAUAC
rnacentral:rRNA from 1 species